AGAAACCCACAGGGAUUGCCUUAGUAGCGGCGAGUGAAGCGGCAAAAGCUCAAAUUUGAAAUCUGGCGCCUUCGGUGUCCGAGUUGUAAUUUGAAGAUUGUAACCUUGGGGUUGGCUCUGUCUAUGUUUCUUGGAACAGGACGUCACAGAGGGUGAGAAUCCCGUGCGAUGAGAUGCCCAAUUCUAUGUAAGGUGCUUUCGAAGAGUCGAGUUGUUUGGGAAUGCAGCUCUAAGUGGGUGGUAAAUUCCAUCUAAAGCUAAAUAUUGGCGAGAGACCGAUAGCGAACAAGUACAGUGAUGGAAAGAUGAAAAGAACUUUGAAAAGAGAGUGAAAAAGUACGUGAAAUUGUUGAAAGGGAAGGGUUUGAGAUCAGACUCGAUAUUUUGUGAGCCUUGCCUUCGUGGCGGGGUGACCCGCAGCUUAUCGGGCCAGCAUCGGUUUGGGCGGUAGGAUAAUGGCGUAGGAAUGUGACUUUACUUCGGUGAAGUGUUAUAGCCUGCGUUGAUGCUGCCUGCCUAGACCGAGGACUGCGAUUUUAUCAAGGAUGCUGGCAUAAUGAUCCCAAACCGCCCGUCUUGAAACACGGACCAAGGAGUCUAACGUCUAUGCGAGUGUUUGGGUGUUAAACCCGUACGCGUAAUGAAAGUGAACGUAGGUGAGGGCUCUUUUGAGUGCAUCAUCGACCGAUCCUGAUGUCUUCGGAUGGAUUUGAGUAAGAGCAUAGCUGUUGGGACCCGAAAGAUGGUGAACUAUACCUGAAUAGGGUGAAGCCAGAGGAAACUCUGGUGGAGGCUCGUAGCGGUUCUGACGUGCAAAUCGAUCGUCGAAUUUGGGUAUAGGGCGAAAGACUAAUC
rnacentral:rRNA from 1 species